GCACAGGGUCCCGUUCUUGAGGGCUGUCUGCAGCCCCGAGGCCCAGGCCGAGACCCCCACCGCCGCCGCCUAGGCUGCAGGGAGGAGGCCCCGGCCCGCUGCUUAGUUAGGGGUGCUGGGCUCCCCGGCCUGCGGGCUGCUUCCAGAGCGAUCUCCCAGACGGUCCCGCAGGAGUUAAAGCCCGAGGCGGACAAAAGGGAGGCCGCCGUGGCUCCCUUUCUCGGCUGUCAGCUGAAAAUAGCUCGCUGCCCUCUGGACUUAAACUCCCGACAGAAAGGGCAUUUUAUUACAGGUUAUGACAAGCUGCAGAGAGACUCGGAGAACUCCUCAGAAGGAGCGGCGCGUGGAAUAAAAAAUGCUGGAGAUGUCUGGACGACAGAGCGAAGACUGGCUUCAAAUGAGAGAAACAGCAAAUUAUGAGAGAAAAUAAAAAGUCACACAUUUCAAACUUUCGCCUACAUCCUUCCCAAAAGAAAGAGAAUAAAAAGAUUUAAGUCAAAGACACCAGAAGCUGUCAACAGCUAUGCCACUGGAAAAACAGUUGUACAAAGGAGAAAGGGCAUCUACAAGAAAGUUAAAAUAAGAGCCAUCAUCUGUAAGUGAAAUUGCUCUGGCAGAGGUAUUCUGACUUGUGGGGGAAAAUAUGAACAAAAUUGCCACUUGGAAGUGUACAGGAAAGAAGAUACUGUCAAGGAGGAAAAGGGACACAUUUGUAAGGAGGGGGAAAUGAAAGGAGAAAAAUCCCCAGGAGUGUGUUUUUGCACCCCAGUCUUUGCACCUGGGAGAUGUGCUGGAAAAUAAGGCAAGAAAGAGGAGAGGCAAGGCACCCCAAGGAAGGUGCAGGCUGCUCUAGCCCCAGUGGGAGAAGGGGGGCAAAUCUUUUUAUGAUUUUCAUUCCUUCUGAGACUUGGAAUAAUAAACUCGAGUUACCACCCGUCAGCCC
rnacentral:lncRNA from 1 species